ensembl:lncRNA
GCCAUGGGUUCCUUUUGAAAGCCCUCAAUAUGUACAGGGGGGAGAUAUUUGCCUACCCUCUGUACCUUCAAAAGGAGCUCAUGCCAGCCAAGGCACAAUUCUUCGCAAUGGACGUGGCAUGCAAAUACUGGCCAUACCUGGAGAAAGUUGCUAGUGACCUUCCUGGAAUGUUGCUAGAGACCUUCCUGGUCUUCAGGAGCUAACCACUAUGAAACCCUUUCUCAGUAUAAUGCAUGCUCAAGCCCAUGCUACUAAGUGUGAGAUUAAUUGGAGUGGCAGGAACCAAGAAGGAGCAGGGACAGCCGCUGGUGAGGAGGUGGAGCAAGUUAACAGUUACCUUUCACGUUGUGCCCUGACGACCAAAUAUAUGUCCAAAGCAGCACGGGUGGACAUGCUUACAUUGCAUGCAAUGGGGUGGAACGAGAAAAAAAAUCUCUCUUUACAUCAGGCACUUUCCACACGAUAUGUGAAGACUUGUCAGAGACUCCAUGAUGAGACUGCAAGGCUAGCUGACCUAAAAACAGAGCUAGAUUGCCCAGAUGAAGUGGUGUCACAGUGGCUAUCUGAUGUAAAGGAAUGGGCAGCUGGUGAGACACCUGAUACAUCUAGUGCCAGUCAAGGGACAACACACAGAGGAAUUCAGCAAUCAAUUGAGGGACUCUACCUUAGUGUGAGGCACCGGAAGCGAACCCUCUACCGUCAGAAUUUCUGUAGGAUUUAGUGGUAUCUAUCAGUGAGAUUUGACGAUUGCAACCAGCUUCCCUCACCUCACAUCUUUCCAAGCUACGGUAGCCGACGAGAAAAUGUGUGAGACAGCAGCAAGUUUCGCCAUCGCCUUCGAAGGAAGCUUGCAGAAGACAAAAAACUCCUUCUUCAGGAGAUACAGAAAUACAAUAAUCUUGUACUAGAAUCGGCAACAACCAUUGACGUAGCUUUGGUGAAGCAUUCCCUAACUGGAGAGAGUACUGUGUCUCAAAUAUGGCCGUGGGAGGUUCAUGGCAAUGCAAACAUUUCAAUCAAGAAACGACUGCACGACCAAGUGAUGUUAACAAGGCGACUGCAUGAGGAAACAAGAGUUUUGGUUUUCGAGAUGGCACAACACUGCACAUGGUUGCAGAGCCUGGCAAUGGUUCUCAAGAACAAGUUGGCUGAGGAGG